AGGCUCCGCCCGCGCUCCUGCCCCCGGGGACCCCCACCUCGACGCCUUGGUCCCCGCCGGCCGGUGGUUGGGACAGCGCCUCCCUUGCUGCUGCCUUCAGCACCAUGGCGAUGACCCCACCCCCCUCCGACUGGGUGAUCGACUCCGGUGCCUCGUACCACACCACUCCCACGGCAGGCACGCUCUCUCGCUCUCAUUCCCCCCUCCCCUCUCACCCUUCCUCGAUCGUCGUUGGAAACGGUUCCACUCUGCCAGUCACCUCAGUAGGUGCCUCGGUUCUCCCUGGGCCGUUUUACCUCAACGAUGUUCUCGUAGCUCCCCACAUCACCCACAAUCUUCUUUCUGUUCGUCGCUUCACCACUGACAACUCCUGUUCCAUUGAGUUUGACCCCUCUGGUUUUUCUGUGAAGGAUCUGGCCACCAGGACCCUUCUCGCCCGCUGUGACAGCUCGGGGCCUCUCUACACGCUCCAGCCCUCCGCCGCCGGCGUGUCUCCACCUCCUGCCCUGGUCUCCACCACCUCCUCCACCACAUGGCAUCGACGUCUCGGCCAUCCUGGACCUGACGUCAUGACCAAGAUUACCAGUAGUCUUGAUCUUUCAUGUAAUAGGGGACAUUUUGAGGGUCUCUGUCAUGCUUGUCAGUUAGGCCGACAUACUCGUCUCCCAUUUACUACUUCUUCUUCUCGGGCUGAGCAGGCUUUUGAUCUGGUUCAUUGUGACCUUUGGACCUCCCCUGUACUCAGUCUUUCUGGUUAUAAAUAUUAUCUGGUGAUUUUGGAUGAUUUUUCCCACUUUCUCUGGACCUUCCCGCUUCGGUUGAAGUCGGACACAUUCACCACCCUCACACACUUCUUCACCUGGGUUUCCACUCAGUUUCGUCGCCCGGUCCGUGCUCUGCAGUGUGACAAUGGCCGCGAGUUCGAUAACAACGCCUCUCGCUCCUUCUUCCUCACUCAUGGCGUCCAGUUGCGUCUCUCGUGCCCCUACACUUCUGCCCAGAACGGCCGAGCCGAACGUAUGAUCCGCACCACCACUAAUAUGCUCCGCUGUCUCCUCUUCCAGGCGUCUCUCCCUGCCAGCUACUGGGCAGAGGCCCUGCAUACUGCCACCCACCUCCUCAACCGCCUUCCCUCGAAGGCGGUACACCACCCUACCCCCCACUUUGCCCUUUACGGCACCACCCCUUCCUAUGACCACCUUCGCGUGUUCGGCUGUGCCUGUUACCCUAACACUUCCGCUACCGCUCCACAUAAGCUUUCUCCUCGCUCCGCCCGCUGUCUCUUCCUUGGUUACUCCCCUGACCACAAGGGGUACCGGUGUUUGGACCUCACCUCCCACCGCAUCAUCAUCUCUCGUCAUGUUGUCUUUGACGAAGAUGUGUUUCCCCUCGCUGGCUCCACCCCACCCACCGAUCUUGACUCCCUCCUCGAGUCCGAUCCGGUUCCACCCCCACCUUCGGCUCCCCGUCUUGCGCCGUUACCUGCUCCUCGUGCGGCCCCCACGACCUCUUCCGCGCCACGCGCGGCCCCGUCGACCCCGCCUGUGCCACGCGCGGCCCCGUCGACCCCGUCUGCGCCACGCGCGGCCCCGUCGACCCCGCCUGCGCCACGCGCGGCCCCGAUGCUCCUGCCUGCGCCACGCGCGGCCCCGUCGACCCCACCUGCGCCACGCGCGGCCCCGUCGACCCCGCCUGCGCCACGCGCGGCCCGUCGACUCCGACACGAUUCGCCAACCCCGCCCUCGUCUACCAUCGUCGCGGCCACGCCACUACCUCGGCGCCCCCCGACGCGGGCCCAUCGACGGACGCGGCCCGCUUCGCCGACCCCGCCAUCGUCUAUCACCGCCGUGAGCCGGCCCCUCCAGCCACUCCCGACAUUCCGGUGGCUCCCUCCGAGUCGUCCGUAUACCACCCGGUCGCCAUCCACCGCGACCCCGGGCACGUCCACCCCAUGGUGACUCGACGCGCUGCCGGCGUCCUCCGCCCCGUCGACCGGCUCAUCCUGGCAGCCACCACGACCAGCACUCCACCCGACGCUUCCCCGGUACCCUCCUCCGUUCGCACUGCCCUCGCUGACCCACACUGGCGUCGCGCUAUGGAGGAGGAGUACGCGGCCCUCUUGGCCAACCACACUUGGGACCUGGUGCCGCGCCCACCAGGCACCAACGUGGUCACCGGCAAGUGGCUAUUUCGCCACAAGCUGACCUCGGACGGCUCCCUCGACCGCUACAAGGCCCGUUGGGUCCUUCGGGGCUUCACCCAGCGCCCUGGAGUGGACUACGACGAGACCUUCAGCCCUGUCGUCAAGUUCGCCACUGUUCGCGCCGUCCUCUCCCUCGCCCUCUCCCGCGACUGGGCGAUCCAUCAGCUCGAUGUCAAGAAUGCCUUCCUCCAUGGCACUCUGACGGAGACUGUCUACUGCAGCCAGCCCACCGGCUUCGUCGACGCUGACCGUCCGGACCUGGUUUGCCGGCUGAACCGAUCCCUGUACGGCCUCAAGCAGGCGCCACGGGCUUGGUACAGCCGCUUCGCCUCCUACCUGGCCUCCGUCGGCUUCGUCGAGGCCAAGUCGGACACGUCCCUGUUCAUCUACCGACGCGGCGACGACACCGUCUACCUCCUGCUCUACGUCGACGACAUUGUGCUCACGGCAUCCACCGCCGACCUCCUUCACCGCACGAUCGUCGCCCUUCAGCGGGAGUUCGCGAUGAAGGACCUGGGGCCCCUCCACCACUUCCUCGGCAUCACCGCCGAACGUCGGCCUCAGGGUCUCUUCCUCCACCAGCGCCAGUACGCCAUCGACAUCCUGGAGCGGGCUGGCAUGUCUGACUGCAAGCCCUGCCCCACGCCUGUCGACACUCAGGCGAAGCUCUCUGAGGACGACGGGCCUCCGGUCGCCGACGCGACGUCCUACCGGAGUCUCACCGGCGCGCUCCAGUACCUCACGUUCUCCAGGCCCGACAUCGCUUACGCCGUCCAGCAGGUGUGCCUGCAUAUGCACACUCCGCGGGAGCCCCAUCUCACUGCGCUCAAGCGGAUUCUCCGCUACCUCCGCGGCUCCCUCGACUACGGCCUCCUACUCCGCCCAUCCCCGACGUCGGAGCUCGUGGUCUACACCGACGCUGACUGGGCUGGCUGUCCCGACACGCGCCGGUCCACCUCCGGCUACGCCGUCUUCCUGGGCGCCAACCUCGUCUCUUGGGCCGCCAAGAGGCAGCCCGUCGUCUCUCGCUCCAGCGCUGAGGCCGAGUACCGUGCCGUGGCCAACGGCGUGGCCGAGGCCUCUUGGCUGCGCCAGCUCCUCCACGAGCUUCACAGUCCCCUCCAGCGCGCCACCCUCGUCUACUGCGACAACGUCAGCGCGGUCUACCUCUCCACCAACCCCGUGCAGCAUCAACGCACGAAGCAUGUGGAGAUCGACCUGCACUUCGUCCGCGAGCGUGUCGCUGCCGGUGACGUCCGUGUUCUCAGCGUCCCCACCACGCUUCAGUUCGCCGACAUCUUCACCAAGGGGUUACCAUCGAGUGUCUUUUUAGACUUCCGAUCCAGUCUCAACAUCUGUACAGGAUAGAGUUGUGACUGCGGGGGGGUGUUAGACUACCCGUCUAGGGUUAGUGCUAUUCCCACUGUAAUGACCAUUUUACCCCUGUGUGUAAUGGGCCUGGCCCAGAUAUUCUCUCUAUUAAUAUCACUCCCAACCCCUGUUUAGGGUAUGGGUUCCUAUUCUAACAGUGCAAAACAUGGUACUAUUCAAAGAUUUGGGUGAAUAAAAGUUCUCCUUGGUGCACAUUACAGGAUUCUUACUCAUGAUUGAGAAAAACUUGUUCUAAUGAGUAUUAUGUUUUUUAAUGAGCAGAAUGCUUCUUCACAACCAAGGCAUGGAAUGCACAAAACGCUGGAGCUGCUGCCGUUCUUGUUGUGGAUGACAAGUCGGAACCUCUAAUCACAAUGGACAACCCAGAAGAAGGCAAAGAGCACCUAGAAAACAUCACUAUUCCCUCAGUGCUUAUAACAAAGAAAUUGGGGGAAAGCCUUAAGAAAUCCGCGGAAAAUGGCGAUAUGCUUAGCGUUCUUCUAGACUGGAGAGAAUCCCUUCCCCAUCCGGAUGAGCGUGUAGAGUAUGAGUUCUGGACAAACAGUAAUGAUGAAUGUGGUCCUAAAUGUGAUAUGCAAAUGGACUUCGUGAAGAGCUUUAGAGGAACUGCACAAAUCCUUGAGAAAAAGGGUUACACUCAGUUUACUCCUCAUUAUAUCACAUGGUAUUGUCCAGAAGCUUUUGUCGAUAGCAAGCAAUGCAAAUCACAGUGCAUCAAUCAUGGGAGAUAUUGUGCACCAGACCCAGAGCAGGAUUUUAGUCAAGGGUAUGAUGGAAGAAAUGUUGUGGUUCAAAAUCUACAUCAAAUUUGUGUAUUCAAGAUUGCUAAUGAAACUGGAAAGCCAUGGCUGUGGUGGGAUUAUGUGCAUGAUUUCGCACUUAGGUGCCCAAUGAAGGAUAAGAAAUACAAUCAUGACUGUGCCAGCGAUGUUAUCAAGUCACUUGGUAUAUUUAAUUGGUCACUAAUAUGUUGGUUGCUAGUUCCAUUUUCUUUUCCUUUUGUAGCAUGCAACUAAUUGACUAAGUAGCUGCCAAUUAAGUAUUCAUUGUGUCAAUUCCCUGUUACAGGAUUGGACAUCGAGAAAAUAAACAAGUGUGUUGGCGACCCUGAAGCCAAUGAGGAAAACGUAAUUUUAAAGGCAGAACAAGAUGCCCAAGUACGACUGUGUUAAUAAAUAGUACUCCCUCCUUGCUUUUUUACAAGGUGUAUUUGUUUGGACAAGGCUUUGGCCACUGAUUACUCCAUUAAUAGUUCAUUAUAUGAUACAGAAUCAUAAUCAUAAGCUCAAAAUCAUAAUCAUAAGUAAGCAUUCUUUUAACGUGGAUCUAAUAAUAUUGAUUUGGUGCCAUAGAAAUUUUGUAUUACUAUCUCCAUCACAGAAAACAUGUAUAGGUUUAUCCUAAGUCAAACUAUUUUAAGUUUGACCAAGUUUGUAGAAAAGUUUGUCGACAUUUAUGAAACCUAAUAAGUAUACUAUGAAAAUAUGUUACAUGUUGAAUCUAAUGAUACUUAUUUGGUAAUAUAAAUAUCAGUACUUUUUGUAUAAACUUGGUCAAACAUAAGAUAGUUUGGCUUAGGACAACUAGAUCUUGAAGUUUUUUGGGGGAUGCAGGUGGUAGUAGAGUAAUUGUUGGUCAAAGGUAUCCUUAGUUCUUUGCUUUUACUGUAUAGAUUGGUCAUGGUAAAAGGGGAGAUGUCACAAUACUACCAACCCUUGUCAUCAACAACAGGCAAUACAGAGGUCAGCCUACUAUCUUGUGCCUAUCUUUUUGUGGUUAGAUGUUGUUUGUGUCACGUUUAGUUUUUCUCUUCAGGUAAGCUGGACAAAGUUGCUGUCCUGAAAGCGAUUUGUUCAGGAUUCGAGGAGACAACUGAGCCUGCUGUUUGUUUGAGCGAAGGUCUGUAAGCUUUCAUUUUACUGCAGAUAUCUCUUAGUAGAUCUUAUCUGAUAUCGCAUUUACCCUUUUAUUUCCUUCUUUUUAUCUAAUAUAGAGGUUCAAACAAAUGAGUGUUUGGAGAACAAUGGGGGUUGCUGGCUGGACAAAGCUAAUAAUGUUACUGCAUGCAAGGUACAAUUUGUUAACCACCAUGCAUGCUCAUGAUGCUUAUAUUAUGCCUCAAUUCUUGUCGGGUAAGAGGUUCUAAUUGCAUUUAUGUGAGAAUGCAGGAUACUUUCCGUGGGCGUGUUUGUGAGUGCCCUAUUGUGAGAGGUGUAAAAUUUGUUGGUGAUGGAUAUAUCCAUUGUGAAGGUAGUAUAUGAAUUUACUUCUUGCACUACAUCGACAUAAGUUAUAAUGGAAAAAAUUGAGUAGACAAUGACUAUUGCUACCUUCAUUCUCUUUUCUCAUUAUUUUGGAGAUUGCAUCAUUUCCAACACAUUCAUUCUUUUCCUGAUUAUUACAAUAACAACAAUAAAGUAAGUUGGGGCAGGUUAGAGUUGAAACCCAACAAAAGCCACAAAUCAUGGUUCAGACACGUGGAUAGUUGUUUCCUAUGCGCUACUAUGAAAGGCUAAAUCUUUGAGUAUAUUUCAUCCUUUCAAAUCUUCUUUUACUGUCUCUUUUCAUGUCGACUUCGUCCUUCCCUUAUCUCUCUUCCCAUUACUACCGCGUCUUAAGAUCGCACUACGCACUUGUCCUCCGUAGGUCUAUGUUGGACAUGUACAAAAUCUCAACCAUUAUUGGACAAUUUUUCUUCAAUUAGUGCUACCCUUAGCCUAUCACGUAUAUUAUCGUUGUAGAUUCGGCCCCUUCUUGUAUGGCCACAAAUUCAACGCAACAUGCACAUUUCCACAACACUUAUCUUUUGAAUAUGUCAUCUUUUUGUAGACCGACAUUCUGCACCAUACAACAUAGCAAGUCUAAUCAUUGUACUACAAAACUUACCUUUUAGCUUUUGUGAUACCCCUUGUCACAUAGAACAUUAGGUGCUUGGCGCUACUUCCUCUGUCAUGCUUUGAUUGUGUGACUAACAUAUUCAUCAAUAUCUCCGUCUCUCUGUAGGCUGUAGCGUUGAUCCUAAAUAUAGAAAGGUAUCUUUCUUAGACACUACUUGACCUUUCAAACUAACACCUCUUUUCUCGUGUAGUAAUAUCGAAGUCACAUAUUUAUUCGGUUUUAGUUAUACUAAGUCUAAAAACUUGGACUCUAUAGUCUCCCGCCACAAGUCCAGUUUUCUAUUUACUUCUGCCCAACAUUCAUCAACUAGCACUACCUCGCCUGCAAAAAGCAUACACCAAGGCAUAUCCCAUUUUAUAUCCCUCGUUACCCCAUCCGUCACCAAGGCAAAAAGCUAAGGGCUCAAAGCUGACAAUUGAUGUAGUCCUAUUCCUAUCGAGAAGUUAUCCAUGUCUCUGUCACUUGUCCGAACACUAGUCAAAACAUUGUUGUACAUGUCCUUAAUGAGUCGAACUUACUUCAUUGGAACUUUAUCUUUGUUCAAAGCCCACAACAUAAAAUUUCUUGGUAUUUUGUCAUAAGUCUUCUCUAACUCGAUGAAAACCAUGUGUAGGUUCUUCUGCUCCCUAUACUGUUCCUUCACUUUUCUUAUCAAGGAAGUGGCUUCCAUGGUUGAACUUUUAGGUAUGAAACCAAAUUGGUUCAUACAGAUCCACGUUAUCUCUCAGACGGUGCUUGAUAACUCUCUCAUAUUAUGGCUUAUCAAUUUAAUUCGUAGGUAAUCGAUACAACUUUGAGUAUCUCUCUUAUUCUUGUAGAUUGGCAUCAAUAUAUUUCUCGACUCGUCAGACAUCUUGUUCGACCCGGAGAUAUGGUUGAACAACUUAGUUAGCCAUACUAUAGCUACGAGACAUCUCCAUUUCUCGAUUGGGAUACCAUCGAGACCCAUCGCCUUACCCCUUUUAUGCUUCUCAUGACUCUAACCUCAAAUUCUUGGAUCCUACACAUAAAGCGUCUAUUAGUGUCAUCAAAAGAGACAUCUAACUAAAAUAUUGUGCCCCCAUUCUCCUCAUUGAAUUUAUCAAAAUACUCUCGUCAUUUAUGUGUGAUUUCAUCCUCCUUCACCAUGUGGUGCUCUCAAUCAUCAUUAAUGCACUUAACCUGGUUGAAAUCCUUUGUCUUUCCCUCACAGACCCUUGCCACCCUAUAUAUGUCCUUCUCUAUUUCCUUGUACUCAAAUGUUGGUAAAGAUCCUCGUACAUCCUACCAUUUGCCACGCUUAUAGCUCGCUUUGCGGUCUUUUUUGCCACCAUGUACUUCUCUGUGUUGUCCACACCCAUAUCAUGGUAUAAACAUCUGUAACAUUCUUUAUUCUCUUUGAUAGCUCUUUGGACUUCCUUGUUCCACCACAAAGUAUUUUUAGCUUCGCCUCCACUCCCUUCGGUUGCUCCACAUACCUCUGAGGCCACCUUCAGAAUGCAGGUUGGCAUCUUCUCCCACGAGUUGUUUGUGUCAUAUUAUUCCUUCCCAAGUGCCAUCUUUGAUGACCCUUUCGGUGAAGACUUAUGACACCUCCUCUUUCAUUUUCCACCACUUUGUUCUUGCAAUAUGGGCUUGUUUAUCCCUAUGGGCACGCACUUGGAAAUGAAAGUUUGCCACCAAAAGCUUAUGUUGAGACAACUUACUAUCCAGGUAUCGCCUUGCAAUUCAAGCAUGCUCGUUUAUCCUCUCUUCUUAUGAGGACAAGGUUAAUCUGAUUAGAGUGGUAAUAGAUCACUAAAUGGAACCCUCUCUUCCUAAAGAAAGUUUUGGCUAUCAACAGGUCAAAAGCUACUGCAAAUUCCAAGACUUUCUCUCCCUUCUAUUCCUACUACCAUACCCAAAACCUCCAUGAAUCGCUUUAAAACCUACAUUUGUUGUACCUACAUGCCUAUUGAGAUCUCUAUGAAAAGCUUCUCAUCAUGUCCUACUUAGGUGGGCACACACACUAAUUGUGUCUAAGACCAAAUCAUCCACGACAAGCUUGACUAAGAUAAUCCUAUUUUUUGCCUUCUUACAUCCACCACACUGUUCUUAAGUCUUUUAUGAACCAAAACUCCUACUCUAUUUCUAUUUCUAAUUGCAAUUGUCCCUGUGUACGACAUUGUCCACCACUCCACCUCCUUCGCUUUCCAACCCUUCCAUUUAGUCUCUUGGACGCGUAAAUAUUUACAUGCCUCUUAGUCGUUGUCUCAAUUAACUCCCUUAACUUACAUGUAAGUGACCCUACAUUCAAAUUGUUAGAUUCAGUCCACUUAUACACUUUAACACCUCACUCACUUGUAGUCAGAGAGGAAUGUGCAAACAUGGAAACAAAGGGCAGAGGCACAAAUGAAGUCUUUGCCAAGAUUUGAACUCGAGAUCUCUGACUCUAAUACCAUGUUAGAGUGGACGUGCUAACUAGUUUAACCCAAAAGUUUAAGGUGUUGGAAGAAGGUAUGCAAUUCACUUAUACAUUUUAACACUAACUAUCUAAAUGGAUACUAGUUGGUUCAACUAGCUUCUUUACCCUUUGCAACAGUCGAUGAUGUCAAGACUCUUGCUUAUUUUUCACUACACUCGGGCAUCGAUGUAGCAUGCCACUAAGGAAGCGACGACCUGAUCCUUGUUCACUUGACACAGUGCCCAGAUCAAAAUAUGUCGUGUCACCAAGGGGGUGCCAAUGGCCCUUGCCUUUCUAACACCAUAUCCGAGUUUUGAUAUGGCGCAUCGCUAAGAGGGUUAUGCCUCCAAUUGAUUUCUUUCAGGUUUCAUUUUCAUUAGAAUGGCUGGGUUCGACAUUGCCUCACCAAGUCUAUCACAACCCUCCUUUACCAAAGCUUGGAAUCUGCUAUGUUGAGACAGCAUAGUGUGGAGUUUUUUCCUUGAUUAUUACAUGUUACCAAUAUUAUUGAUAUACGAACGAUACGAAAAGAGUUUGAUGAUAAAUUCCUAGUAUUAUUUUCAUGUUGAUUACACACUCAUUUUAAGAGGAAUAAGUAAAAUAGAAUGUUGGCAGUUGUAGUUUGUAAAUCAGUGUUGUUCGCAUGACUAUGUGGCAUUUUACUAUUGCACAAAUACCAUCUUAUCAGAUAUUAUAUGUUAAUAUUUGAGAAUGCAACACUACAACUAUGAUUGAAAUUUGCCAUUGUCAGCUUCCGGUAUUGGUAGAUGUGAGAUCAACAAUGGAGGGUGCUGGCAGGAAAGUAAAGAUGGGAAGACAAUCUCUGCCUGCUCAGUAAGUAAAUGUUGUUUUGAGAUAUUUGCUUUUUUUCCUUUCCAUUUUGUUUACAUAUUUGAAACUAAAUUUGGAAUUCUGCAGAAUGAAGUAUCUGAAGGUUGUAAAUGUCCAGUGGGUUUCAAAGGUGAUGGAGAAAAAAGUUGUGAAGGUAUCAUUCAGAAAAUAGUUGUUUACAUCCUUGAAUUCAACAUUGUUUUGAAGGGGCAGAAAUUGAUUGUAUAUUUGUAUAUAUUGGACCAAAAAAAACCUUGCAUUCUAAGCACUGAAAUCCUAACAAAUUUAGGAAAUUCAAGGGACACCGAGAUAACAAAAUGCAAGGUUCAGCUCAACCAACUAUGACGGAAACCACGAGCAAAUCCAAAUAAAGUAACAGUACAUAUCACAAACUAAGUACCACUGUUGAUACAGUGAUUUGAAGAUCGCUUGAUUGGAGUUGCCUCCGGCCUCUUUGCUACCACAGUAGAAAAUUUUCCACCCUGAUGACCUCUCCCUUGUGCACAAUAAAUUGUUGUUGCUGUAAGAAAUCUCCAACUGCCGGAGAGGCUAAUCAGAUUAUGAGAAAAGGCAAUCAUUGUCUGGCAUCGUACCCAAAGGGUCAUUUUUUUUUGGCACUUGCAGACUCUAGAAAAUUUAGCUCGCUGUCGUCCCACCGUAUUUCUUUUGGAUGCCACUUCAAAGCAUCUCUGAUCAACACCAUACUCAUUGCCCGAGCUGAGACCUAAAAGUUAUAUUAUAUGGUCAGCAGUUGUGUCUAUUCUACCCUGAGCAGUCUUCCAUUGAAGUUCUUAGAGUAAAAUUUACCUAAUAAGGAUGGUCCUCUAAUUUCACCUUUGAAUAAUGCAGAUUAUUUUUGUUCUGAUCUAUUUUAAUCUAUUUAUUAUUUGCAGACAUUGAUGAAUGCAAAGAGAAACUUUACUGUCAGUGCAAGGGUUGCAGCUGCAAGAAUACAUGGGGAAGCUACGAGUGCAGCUGUGGUGAUGACAAUAUGCUAUACAUGAGGGAGCAUGACACUUGCAUCAGUGAGUAGCUGGACCUGCAUUUUUACAUAGACAUCUAAUUUUGUCUCUUCGUUUUUUCCUUGCAAGAAUCUUUUUCAGAUGAGAAGUACGGAAUUCUAUCUUUUAUUUGAGAUGGUUGAUCUUAUUCCUUUUAAAAGAUGGAAAAAAAGAAACUGAUUUUAAUCAUCUUUAACUUUGUGAAUAACACAAUUAUGCUCGAGUUGCUUAAUAAACUGAUUAUUUCAAAAGAAAAUUGUUUGAUGUUCCACAGACUUAAAUAUGUAAUACCCGGAGCUACUUAUUCCAUGAACUGUAAACCUAUUUUCGUCUACAGAAGUUUCAUUGCAGUUCUAUGUUAAUACUAGUGACACGACAAGAAUAGUAGUUUUUAUCAAUGUGUCAUAGAUUCUUGCCUGUUAGACUUUGUUUUUUUUUGUUUUAAAUUAUACCCUCUAUCUUUUAGGAUUGCUUAAAUCAAAUGGCAUAUAAUCAUCACAGUUUUUCAUCGAUGUGAUUUUUGGGCCUAUCUAAGCAGAUGCCCUGUCAGUAAUUAUCAGUUCUUUGUUCUUUCCCCGUAGUGCUGGACUUCACUUUUCUUUACUGUCUGAACUCAAACGAAAGCAGUAGAUGACACACUUGUAUAUAGAUAAGCCUAUGGAAAUUCUAAGAUAUUUUUGCACAAGUAAAUCAUUUAAUCUUUUAUUGUACUAGUCUCAUAUACCAUUUCUAAAUGCUGUGCAGGCAAAGAGGGAACUGCCACUACUGUUGGCUGGAGCUUCCUCUGGGUUAUUUUCUUUGGACUUGUUUUUGCUGGGGUUGGAGCAUACGCCGUGUACAAAUACAGGCUGAGGGUAAAAAAAACACUUCCCGCUUACUCUGUUUCCUCUCUCCCCUUCGAUCUUUAUUUGCAAGUGGUCGCAUGCAGGACUUGAUUUGCUAGUUGCUACUGUAAUAAUAUGAUGCAUUUGUUACUGAAAUCUUCGCCAUCAUUCCACCAGAGCUACAUGGAUUCGGAGAUCCGUGCCAUCAUGGCUCAGUACAUGCCUCUGGAUAACCAAGAAGGAGCAAACCAGCAUCAGGUCGUGCACGCCAAUGAUAUCUGAAGCGGCACGCCUUCUCUGGAGCAGCAUGGAGGCAUUUCACUUGUGCUGCUGCAUCAUUGGGCAUGGGGUUUUGCAAAUAGGUCAAACUAGGCUCAAAGAUACACGGGUUGGUGCGAGGAGAUCAAGAUCAUCAACUGUACCAUGUGUUAAGAGAGAUACGUUGUGCACUUCUUGUUACGCACGGCACUUGGAUAGCAUAGGGGGAUGAAGAUGAUACCACCAUUAGUAGACCUUCGUUUCCUUCAGCUUCUCUUAGAACUUACGGGUUCUUGCUGCCUCUUCGCAUACAUGUGAAUACUGUAAAUACCGUUGCCUGAAUAAAAGCUUCAGCCUGCAAGGCUACAAGCAAUAUACCAAUGUUCUGACUCUGAAGCACUGGUUUUACAUGUCUCUACGUGUAUAUGUGUAUGUGAUACAUGACAGAUUACUUUCGCUGCUUCUGUCCGACGCUAUCAAUCAGAAUUAUUUGUGUAAUUACGGUAAACAUGGUUUCUGUGUGGACUGCAAACAUGGCACCUGUGUGAGAUUCUCCCUGCUCUCCGCGUGAGAAGACAUGAAAAGGAGGACAUCUGGUCUGCUGCAUGCUGAACCAUCGCGAUGCAAGGAAGGAUUGCAGCAUACCGUAGGUGCUCCAAAAGGAGAGAGAACCAACAAAAGACGGGCGAGCGGCGCGCGUGUUGCAGCCAUUUUUUUCAUAAAAAAGCACAGGCAGCAUGAUACCGGGUGUGCAGUCGUUUCCUUCUUUCGAGGUAGGCUGUGCUCGAUCGAUUUCUUCUGGGCUUUUGAUGCUGCUGCGGCUGCCUCUUUCUUUGAGAUGCUCGCAGCUGCUACUGCCUACUGUUGGUCCGUGUGGAAUUUAGAUCGGGAGCAGCUCAACACUCUACCACUCUGCAAGUGAGAUCUGGCUUUUCUUUACAGGGACAUUGGUGAAUGGUGUGGCUUUCGAGAGCGCGUGCCCGUGGUCGAUCGUCCGACCGCAGAAAUGUAUCCAAGUCCAAAGGGCAUGCAACAGAUCUACUGUCUAUGAAAAGAAUCAUGCAAAAAGGAUAGAUUAACACGACAUAUUUGCGAUGCCAUGAUGCUCACCCACACCGACACGAAUAGUCCAUUAAAAAACAUUUACACUCAACUAACAUAUCUAUCAUACUCAAUCAAAAUAACAUAUAAUAAAAGAUCAUAAAUCAUCGUUGCCACUAGACAUAUCAAUAAUAUUAUAUAAUCCACGAGUUUAAACUUUACAAAACUCACCCAACCAAAAUCAUCCUCAUACUUAUAACCUUUAAUAAAUCCAUCAAACAAAUUAUACUCGGACUUAACACAUCAUCAAAACCAACUGUUUAACUCAUUUCUUACUCAAAUCUAAUGUACAAUAUUAUUUGGAUCAUGCCUCAUCCCUCCCAGUCCCCUGCCCCCUCCCCCUUGAGAGCACCUAGAGGGGGGGGGGGUGAAUAGGUGAUCCUGUAAAAACUUCAAACUUAAGCCACAAAAACUUGUUAAGUGUUAGCACGAUUAUUGCCAAGUGGCUAAGGUGAAGUCUCAACAAUCUCAACAAAACACAGUACCACAAGAGAAUCAAACACAGAGUGACACAGUGGUUUUAUCCCGUGGUUCGGCCAAGACCAACGCUUGCCUACUCCACGUUGUGGCGUCCCAACGGACGAGGGUUGCAAUCAACCCCUCUCAAGCGGUCCAAAGACCCACUUGAAUACCACGGUGUUUUGUUUUCCUUUCACUAUCCCGUUUGCAAGGAAUCUCCACAAAUUGGAGUCUCUUGCCCUUACAAGUAUAUGAUCACAAAUGAAACACAGAGUAAGGGAGGGAAGCAACACACACAAAUCCACAGCAAAAGCGCACACACACGGCCAAGAAUCGAGCUCACAAGACUAUCUCAGAGUUCUCACUUAGAACGGAGCUCGAAUCACUUAGAAACACAAACGAAUGCGCAGAGACUUAGUGUGGAUGAUCAAGAAUGCUCAAAGGUUGCUUGUGUGUCUCCUCCAUGCGCCUAGGGGCUCCUUUUAUAGCCCCAAGGCAGCUAGGAGCCGUUGAGAGUAAAUCCGGAAGGCCAUCCUUGCCUUCUGUCGUCGGGGGCACCGGACAGUCCGGUGCACACCGGACACUGUCCGGUGCCCGAUUUGUUUCCUUAAACGGCGAAGACGACCGUUGCAGACCGUUGGCAGAUCUGGCGCUGUUGGCGCACCGGACAUGUCCGGUGCACACCGGACAGUCCGGUGCCGUCUUCCGACCGUUGGCUCGGCCACGUGUCCCGCGCGGAUUGCGCGGCCGACCGUUGGCCCUGGCCGACCGUUGGCUCACCGGACAGUCCGGUGCACACCGGACAGUCCGGUGAAUUUUAGCCGUACGCCGCCGGCCAAUUUCCCGAGAGCGGCCAGUUCGAGUCGCGCCAGCCUGGCGCACCGGACACUGUCCGGUGCACACCGGACAGUCCGGUGCUCCAGACCGAGCUGGGUCUUGGCAGCACACAGCCAAGUCCCUUCUCC
rnacentral:lncRNA from 1 species